rnacentral:hammerhead_ribozyme from 1 species
AUCCAGAUGAAGAGUCCCAAAUAGGACGAAAUGCGUGUCACCCUGGAC